GAUGAAGAACGUAGCGAAAUGCGAUAAGUAAUGUGAAUUGCAGAAUUCAGUGAAUCAUCGAAUCUUUGAACGCACAUUGCGCCCCCUGGUAUUCCGGGGGGCAUGCCUGUUCGAGCGUCAUUUCACCACUCAAGCCUCGCUUGGUAUUGGGCAUCGCGGUCCGCCGCGCGCCUCAAAUCGACCGGCUGGGUCUUCUGUCCCCUAAGUGUUGUGGAAACUAUUCGCUAAAGGGUGUUCGGGAGGCUACGCCGUAAAACAACCCCAUUUCUAAGGUUGACCUCGGAUCAGGUAGGGAUACCCGCUGAACUUAAGCAUAUCAAUAAGCGGAGGA
rnacentral:misc_RNA from 1 species